rnacentral:lncRNA from 1 species
GUUCGUUGUCUGCCAGUAAAUUCCUGCUCUGGGGGUGCCGGGAGCCGGCUGAGUCUGAGCAGGAUAUUCAUCAAGACCCAGGACUACCGUCUCUUCCUGGCGGCCUCCAGUGCCCCAAUUCCAGGAGCAGUGGGAGAGGGUAUCUGGCCACUCUGUGGGCUGCAAUUGGCAUUGGUGACAAAGGCUGGCUGAGUCGCUGUUGGCAGGUGGACCACCGACCCCACUGCCUGAGCUUGGGAGCAGGUCAUGAGGGAAGAUAAAUUGAAGCCGAGCCAAGCUGAAUUGGAGGCAUCUGAGACAAGAACGUGCGGACGCCCAGUGGACGAUCCAGGCAGGCUGGGGUGUUGGGGACGGAGCCGUGGAUACACCCAUACUCAACAGGCAGAGGGGACCUUGGAGGAAUCUCAUAUUUAAAACUGUCUUGGCAAGAGCUUGUGGUGACCCUCACUCGGUCUUUGAGGAGGCCCUCAUGCACUCAGCGCACGUCUGGGAGCACCAAAAACCAGAGGGCUGGAUGGGGAAGAGGAAGAGGGUUCUCCCCGUGUGCCUGUGCGCGUGCGCAUGGAUGUCCACGCUCACAUACUUCCAUGUCUAUCCAUACCCCGGCCCACGGAAUAGAUAUUCGACGGGGGACCGGGGUGUCAACAGAUGUAUCCGAGUUCAUGCGUGGCAGGGAGCUGGCGGCGGGACCCGUCCCUCCAGCUGGCUCUCCAACCCCAAGCCUGCAUUACGACCACGGCAAAAUGCCAGAAGCCCAGAGAAGCGGGGUUUCUGAAGCGGAUCGUUUGUUCAGCCCGAGUGCGUGGGGCAGGAACACACCUGGAGGUCAUUAAAGAGAAGUCUUCACGGGGCACUCAAGGCACACUGCAAAACAACUUUUUAUUUAAAAGGCCAAUAAUGAGAAUAAUGAGUUGCACAAGAAUGAAAACCUUAUCCCUUCCAAAAGAUCGGCC